GACGAACGCUGGCGGCGUGCUUAACACAUGCAAGUCGAACGGAAAGGCCCUGCUUUUGUGGGGUGCUCGAGUGGCGAACGGGUGAGUAACACGUGAGUAACCUGCCCUUGCCUUUGGGAUAACUUCAGGAAACUGGGGCUAAUACCGGAUAGGAGCUCCUGCUGCAUGGUGGGGGUUGGAACGUUUCGGCGGUUGGGGAUGGACUCGCGGCUUAUCAGCUUGUUGGUGGGGUAGUGGCUUACCAAGGCUUUGACGGGUAGCCGGCCUGAGGGGGUGACCGGCCACAUUAGGACUGAGAAACAGGCCAGACUCCUACGGAAGAAAGCAGUGGGGAAUAUUGCACAAUGGGCGGAAGCAUGAUGCAGCAACGCCGCGUGCGGGAUAACGGCCUGCGGGUUGUAAACCGCUUUCGCCUGUGACGAAGCGUGAGUGACGGUAAUGGGUAAAGAAGCACCGGCUAACUACGUG
rnacentral:rRNA from 1 species